CUACGUGCCAGCAGCCGCGGUAAUACAUAGGGGACGAGCGUUAUCCGGAAUAAUUGGGCGUAAAGGGUGCGUAGGCGGUGUGUUAAGUUCAAGGUUUAAUCGUAGGGCUCAACCCUAUAUCGCUUUGAAAACUGGCACACUAGAGUAAGAUAGAGGCAAGUGGAAUUCCAUGUGUAGCGGUAAAAUGCGUAAAUAUAUGGCAGAACACCAGAGGCGAAGGCGGCUUGCUGGGUCUUCACUGACGCUGAGGCACGAAAGCGUGGGGAGCAAACAGGAUUAGAUACCCUGGUAGUCCACGCCGUAAACGAUGAUUACUGGGUGUGGGCAUGAAGAGUGUCUGUGCCGAAGCUAAUGCGAUAAGUAAUCCGCCUGGGGAGUACGGCCGCAAGGCUGAAACUCAAAGGAAUUGACGGGGGCCCGCACAAGCGGUGGAGCAUGUGGUUUAAUUCGAUGCAACGCGAAGAACCUUACCUACUCUUGACAUCCAGA
rnacentral:rRNA from 1 species